rnacentral:rRNA from 1 species
UACGGGGGGGAGCUAGCGUUGUUCGUCAUGUACUGGGCGUAAAGAAGGUGUAGACGGCUGUCUAAAAUUCUAUUAAUUUCUAUUUUUAGGGUUAAUAAAAUUUAAAUAUAAGGUUUGUUUCAAAAGCUAGAAGCUUAACUUCUUUUGUUGAAACUUAUUCUAGGAUAGCUUUGAGUUAGGAAAAGGAAAGCGGUACUCUCAGUGGAGAGUUGAAAUCCCCAAAGAUUGCAGAGGACCCUCAUUAUGCGAAGGCGGCUUUCUUUAGUACUAACUGACGUCGUGGCCUUAAAGUGUGGGGAGCAAACGGG